UACAGGUCAGUGUUUGAGGUGCACGUUAGGUUUUGGUCCCAGAAGAAUAUUUCGUAGUAUGCCUGUUG
rnacentral:tRNA from 1 species